GUGUGAUUGGAUAGAACACAGUAAGUCUCUCUCUCAGUAAGGUGUGAUUGGAUAGAACACAGUAAGUCUCUCUCUCAGUAAGGUGUGAUUGGAUAGAACACAGUAAGUCUCUCUCUCUCAGUAAGGUGUGAUUGGAUAGAACACAGUAAGUCUCUCUCUCUCAGUAAGGUGUGAUUGGAUAGAACACAGUAAGUCUCUCUCUCUCAGUAAGGUGUGAUUGGAUAGAACACAGUAAGUCUCUCUCUCAGUAAGGUGUGAUUGGAUAGAACACAGUAAGUCUCUCUCUCAGUAAGGUGUGAUUGGAUAGAACACAGUAAGUCUCUCUCUCAGUAAGGUGUGAUUGGAUAGAACACAGUAAGUCUCUCUCUCUCAGUAAGGUGUGAUUGGAUAGAACACAGUAAGUCUCUCUCUCUCAGUAAGGUGUGAUUGGAUAGAACACAGUAAGUCUCUCUCUCUCAGUAAGGUGUGAUUGGAUAGAACACAGUAAGUCUCUCUCUCAGUAAGGUGUGAUUGGAUAGAACACAGUAAGUCUCUCUCUCUCAGUAAGGUGUGAUUGGAUAGAACACAGUAAGUCUCUCUCUCAGUAAGGUGUGAUUGGAUAGAACACAGUAAGUCUCUCUCUCUCAGUAAGGUGUGAUUGGAUAGAACACAGUAAGUCUCUCUCUCUCAGUAAGGUGUGAUUGGAUAGAACACAGUAAGUCUCUCUCUCUCAGUAAGGUGUGAUUGGAUAGAACACAGUAAGUCUCUCUCUCUCAGUAAGGUGUGAUUGGAUAGAACACAGUAAGUCUCUCUCUCUCAGUAAGGUGUGAUUGGAUAGAACACAGUAAGUCUCUCUCUCAGUAAGGUGUGAUUGGAUAGAACACAGUAAGUCUCUCUCUCAGUAAGGUGUGAUUGGAUAGAACACAGUAAGUCUCUCUCUCAGUAAGGUGUGAUUGGAUAGAACACAGUAAGUCUCUCUCUCAGUAAGGUGUGAUUGGAUAGAACACAGUAAGUCUCUCUCUCAGUAAGGUGUGAUUGGAUAGAACACAGUAAGUCUCUCUCUCUCUCAGUAAGGUGUGAUUGGAUAGAACACAGUAAGUCUCUCUCUCAGUAAGGUGUGAUUGGAUAGAACACAGUAAGUCUCUCUCUCAGUAAGGUGUGAUUGGAUAGAACACAGUAAGUCUCUCUCUCUCAGUAAGGUGUGAUUGGAUAGAACACAGUAAGUCUCUCUCUCUCUCAGUAAGGUGUGAUUGGAUAGAACACAGUAAGUCUCUCUCUCAGUAAGGUGUGAUUGGAUAGAACACAGUAAGUCUCUCUCUCAGUAAGGUGUGAUUGGAUAGAACACAGUAAGUCUCUCUCUCUCAGUAAGGUGUGAUUGGAUAGAACACAGUAAGUCUCUCUCUCAGUAAGGUGUGAUUGGAUAGAACACAGUAAGUCUCUCUCUCUCAGUAAGGUGUGAUUGGAUAGAACACAGUAAGUCUCUCUCUCAGUAAGGUGUGAUUGGAUAGAACACAGUAAGUCUCUCUCUCUCAGUAAGGUGUGAUUGGAUAGAACACAGUAAGUCUCUCUCUCAGUAAGGUGUGAUUGGAUAGAACACAGUAAGUCUCUCUCUCAGUAAGGUGUGAUUGGAUAGAACACAGUAAGUCUCUCUCUCUCAGUAAGGUGUGAUUGGAUAGAACACAGUAAGUCUCUCUCUCAGUAAGGUGUGAUUGGAUAGAACACAGUAAGUCUCUCUCUCAGUAAGGUGUGAUUGGAUAGAACACAGUAAGUCUCUCUCUCAGUAAGGUGUGAUUGGAUAGAACACAGUAAGUCUCUCUCUCAGUAAGGUGUGAUUGGAUAGAACACAGUAAGUCUCUCUCUCUCAGUAAGGUGUGAUUGGAUAGAACACAGUAAGUCUCUCUCAGUAAGGUGUGAUUGGAUAGAACACAGUAAGUCUCUCUCAGUAAGGUGUGAUUGGAUAGAACACAGUAAGUCUCUCUCUCAGUAAGGUGUGAUUGGAUAGAACACAGUAAGUCUCUCUCUCUCAGUAAGGUGUGAUUGGAUAGAACACAGUAAGUCUCUCUCUCAGUAAGGUGUGAUUGGAUAGAACACAGUAAGUCUCUCUCAGUAAGGUGUGAUUGGAUAGAACACAGUAAGUCUCUCUCUCAGUAAGGUGUGAUUGGAUAGAACACAGUAAGUCUCUCUCUCAGUAAGGUGUGAUUAGAUAGAACACAGUAAGUCUCUCUCUCUCUCAGUAAGGUGUGAUUGGAUAGAACACAGUAAGUCUCUCUCUCAGUAAGGUGUGAUUAGAUAGAACACAGUAAGUCUCUCUCUCUCAGUAAGGUGUGAUUAGAUAGAACACAGUA